rnacentral:rRNA from 1 species
GUGGGUAGUUUGACUGGGGCGGUCUCCUCCUAAAGAGUAACGGAGGAGCACGAAGGUUGGCUAAUCCUGGUCGGACAUCAGGAGGUUAGUGCAAUGGCAUAAGCCAGCUUGACUGCGAGCGUGACGGCGCGAGCAGGUGCGAAAGCAGGUCAUAGUGAUCCGGUGGUUCUGAAUGGAAGGGCCAUCGCUCAACGGAUAAAAGGUACUCCGGGGAUAACAGGCUGAUACCGCCCAAGAGUUCAUAUCGACGGCGGUGUUUGGCACCUCGAUGUCGGCUCAUCACAUCCUGGGGCUGAAGUAGGUCCCAAGGGUAUGGCUGUUCGCCAUUUAAAGUGGUACGCGAGCUGGGUUUAGAACGUCGUGAGACAGUUCGGUCCCUAUCUGCCGUGGGCGCUGGAAGACUGAGGGGGGCUGCUCCUAGUACGAGAGGACCGGAGUGGACGCAUCACUGGUGUUCGGGUUGUCAUGCCAAUGGCACUGCCCGGUAGCUAAAUGCGGAAGAGAUAAGUGCUGAAAGCAUCUAAGCACGAAACUUGCCCCGAGAUGAGUCUUCCCUGAGACUAUAAGUCUCCUGAAGGAACGUUAAAGACGAUGACGUUGAUAGGCCGGGUGUGUAAGCGCAGCGAUGCGUUGAGCUAACCGGUACUAAUGAACCGUGAGG